GCUUAAUGCAUAUUGUUAUAUUGUAGAUCUCUAGAGCUUUUUCAUCUUGCAUGACCAAAGCUCUGUACCCAUUGAUGGCAACCUUCCAUGUUCCCCUCCCCCAGGCCCUGGCAACCAUAAUUCUCCUUUCUGCUUCUUUGAAUUUGACCAUGCUAACUACUUUGGCCUUGAAGUAAAUAGAUUGAGAGUAUACGGCGGCCAUUGAAACCCUCCACAGAAGAACAGAAGCAGCCUGCGCUGUCAGUGCCCUUCUGGUAUACUUUAAUCAAAAGGCUUUGAAAUUAGGGGGAAAAAAAAUCCCAUAGACAUUUUGCCUGAGUUGGAAUAUGGUGUGCAGAGCACAGAACGUUAUUUUGACCUAUUGUGGAAUGUCUCAAAACUUUUUCUUUUCCUUUGGGGCGGCAAGGAGACACUAAUGCAGAGUGACUUUUUAUUGGCCCCAGGGAAUCUGUUUUUCCCUUUUAUACUCUGAUUGAGCCCUCUGAACUCGAGACUUGAUCUUCCAAUAGAGGUGAACCUUCACCUUGCAUCGAGGCGAAUGGAGGAUGCUGUUCUUCAGUUAGAAGGAAGAAGCUUGGCUUUACAAUUCAUCUUGUGCCCUUAACCUCAUGAUGUAAUUUUUACUUCUCAGUGAUUCUGCCACAAGGAGCUUGCUCUCCUCCAUAAGAAUCUCCAAGGACCUCAGGGACCAGCUUAUAUCCUUGGAAGUCUUUGCUGUUUGGUGCCAAACUGAAGCCAGCUACAAUCUAUUUUCUUUUCUGAGAAGGAAUAUUCUGGAAGGAUAUGAUGAGAAGAACUUCUAUGAGUAGUCUUCUGAAUGACUCUCAGAAUAAGGGUUAAAAUCAGGUUGUUAGCAGGAUCGUCAGACGUGAUGUGGGGCAUUUCUGUCUUUAAUCCCAAGCUCACCUCCUCCUGUUACAACGAGACCUUCCAUGUCAUAAGGUGAUAUUUCACAAGAGAAAACCACAGAAAUUGUAUGAAACAGAAAUUUAUUAGAUCUUCCCUCUCCAUGUGAAAUCUUUCAAAGGAUUCUUUAUUCAGCUGCAAUGCUCUCUUGCAUGAUGGGCAAAUGAGGAUGAAAUAAAGCCUGAGAAUGUGGUCAGGGAGACUGAGAUGGGAUAAACAGACCAAAAAAUAUUGAACCAAGAAGUAAUGCAUGAGCUGAGCUACAUCUGGAGGUACUGGUCAGUAUCCUGAAUUAUUGGAAUGUAGACCCAGGAAUACAAAUGGGCAAUACUCUUCUCUUUGGAGAGAUGGCAUGGGAAGAGUACCAGCCGGACACUCCUUGAUAUCUGGAUUUUAAUCCUGGCUCAACCAGAAUUGGUCAGUGUGACCCUGGGAAAGACCAAGAAGGUGGGAUCGAACACUUACUCUAUCUACACCAGGUACUCGGUAUCACUUGUGUUGUUCCUUGCAAAACAUUAUGAGGUGAAAAUCAGUAUGUCCGUUUUGGAGUUAAGGAAACAAAUGGAGAUGCAGGGAGUGGAGUUAGUUUGUCGUAGGUCAUGGCCAUCCAACUAGGAAGUGGUAAGAGACCCAGGUCUCUCUGCCCUAAAGACUGAGGUCUAUACGAUCAUAAGUUAACCUCUGAAAAGUCCCUCCAUAUUCCAUAUUCAAGAGCCUAGAUUUUCCCUUCUGUAUAGUGACAGAGUUGGACUAGAUGAUCUUUUGCUUAUAGUUUAGCCAGUAUGAUUCUAUGUAGCUUCCGCGUCUGGAUUUCUGGGUCGCUGAGUUCCUUCUAUGGUGGCUUCCAUUCUCAUGAAACCUGACAGGUCCCUGUGGUACUCUUGGGAGGGUACUAAAUUAAGGCUGUGGUACUGAUUAAAUGGAUUAGCAGCCUUAUAAGGACCAGAUUUUUUUUUUUUUUUUCUGGUUAGCAGAACUGGACAUGACAACUUUUCUCACUGGCUUAUAGAUGUGAUUCAUGCCAGCCAAAAGCGCCACCAUUUUCUUCCCUUCCAGUGAUCUCCACAAGUCACUGGUAGUGCUUAGCACCCUCUGGGUGCCCUAUCAGUAUUUACUAAGUCUACCUGAUUAAUAUCCUUUGUAGUAUCAGCGUAGGUGUAAUUUAAUUUAAAUCUGAACAAAUUCUCGGCUCUAUCCAGCUGCACAAAAAUGCAUUAAAGAAUAUUUUUCUGGUAUGAGUUUCUGCCCCAAAGCAUGAAACCCAGUACAGACUCAGCCUAAGUUACAGGAUAGAGAUGCCAGAUGGCUGUUAAAAUGGACCCUUGCUUGGCUUUUUCUCUUAUACAAAUAAUUUAUGACCUACCACUCUGAACUUCUGAUGGUGGGCUUUGUCGGCACCCUGACAGCUUUCUCUCAUGUUGGUAGCUUCCCUAUGCUGCCUCUAGGACUACAUUGUUCUUGGCAGCAGCCUUAAAAUAUCUUGAAAGGGGAUCAUCAGAGUCACUUGGCAUUCCAGCCUCCUCAUUUUACACGUGUUGUUAUUAGGAGGUGGACUGUCAGAAUGCAGGAGUUCCGGUUUCUUUAGGUUUCAAGGCAUGUGUUGAAGUUUCUCUGCCCUUCAGGCUUCAUUUGUAAAGUGGGAAGGAUCAUGCCUGCUUCUCAGAUACUGAGUGAAUUACAUGAAAUGGGUUUUCUGGCUGUAUUAGUUUCCUAUGGGCUUUGUAACAAAUUACCACAAAUUUGAUGGCUUUGUUGCCUCACAUCUGAAGGCUGAAAGUCCAAAAUCAAGGUGCUGGCAGAGAUAUGUUCCCUCUGAAGGUUCUAGGGAAGAAUUCUUCCCUGCAUCUUGGCAUCCCUUGGCUUGUGGCUCCAUGACUAUCUUUGCUUCUGUUGUCAGAUGGCCUUCUUCACUUCAAGUCUGUGUCCAAGGCUCCCUCUCUUCUUUCUUGUAAGUAUUGCAGUCAUUAGACUUACGUCCCAUUCUAAAACCAGAUGAUUUCAUUUUUAAGAACCUUAACUGAGUAUAUAGCUGCAAAGAACUUAUCCAUCCAGAUUGUAAGGUCACAAUCGGAGGUUCUGGAUGGACAUGGAUUUGGGGGUUGGAGGACACUGGUAAAGCCAUGAUACUAUUUUCCACUUGGAAAAUCUUGAAGGUUCCCAAACACAGCAAGAAUGUUUAAAAUAAGCUGGGAAACCAAAAAACCAUGAUAAAUAGACAAGUUAAGGGAAGAGAGGGUGGUAUGAGGGGUUGGGUGGUGGUUGGUCUCCUGUAGCAUCUGGGUCAGAAGGCUUCUCUGCAGAGGUAAUAUGUGCAACAAUUUUGGAUGCAGUGGAAGAGUGAGCAAUGUGAAAUGUUUUGAAAAGUGUUUUCCAGGUGGAUGGAGCCACAAAUAUCAAGAUGCUGAGGAAGGAACCAGGUGAUGUUUUGAAGAACAGCCAGGAGGCCAGGGUGGUUGGAAUUGGCAUGGGAUGAGAGGAGAUGAGGUUGGAACAGUAAAUGCUGGUCUGGCCAUUUGUAGCCAGUGUAAGACUUUGGGCUUCAUUUUAAGGGUAAUAAAACACCAGUGGGAGUUUUUGAGCAUGAAAGCAGGCUAAUCUGAUUAUAUUUUCAAAAGUCACUUGGGUUGCCAUGGAGAGACUAGACACUGGGAAAGUGUAGGAUCAGGUUGGUGGGCCCGAGGGCAUGCUGGUCAUUGAGGCAAGAGAUAAUGGUGCCUUGGAACGUGCUUGUGAGGAUUAUUUUCUGAGAUGGGGAAGACCAAGACAUAGUGGGACUUGGGGGUACAGUGGAAAUCAGUGCAAUUUGGAUACAUUAACUUUGGAAUAGUCAUUAAGUAUCCAAGAGGAUGAAUAGGACAUUGGGUUUUUGAGUCUGGAGCUUAGGAGAGAGGUCAGCAUGGGGGUUGUUUUGAUUUGGGAGACAUACAAGCAUGGGGCUGAGUGUGGUCCCCCAAAGAAAGAGUGGAUCAGGGGAAGGAUGGGCAGGACAGAGACUUGAGUUAUUUCAACAUUGAGGCCAGCAAGCCUUUUUGAGGGCUUAUGCUCCGGCUGGUAAUACUUACAGCCCACUCUUCUUCAACUCCUCAUUACUGCUUAUGUUUGCAAGGUUCCUCUCAUGGGUCCUGGUAGUUUCCGUGUCUUGGUUUUGAGAUCAGCUCUCUGACCAAAAACUCAUUGGUUGUCUUUUCCUUAUAUUUCUGAAGGCUUUGGAACAGGAAGCAGUUUCCUUCUGGAACGUCCCAUCUGCUAUGUACUUCUCUACUUGUGGAUUUGCUCUGUGUACCUGGAGACAAAUGAGGCACGGAUGGCUGAACGGGCCUGUCUUCUCUGAUUCACAGUCUCAUUCCUCCUCCUGCAUCCCAUGUCUGCUCAGGACGUAUGGCAGGAGCAGCCACCGCACCUGUGUGAGCACCUGCUUCCACAGACCCAGCUGUCUGGGGCUCACCUGAGCACACCUGUUACCUUUUCAUUCGAAAAGCCGGCCAUUGAUUUCUGACUUCAAAGCCUCAAAUCGUAUAUGGGAAACCUUGGAGGAAGACCUGGCUGAGAGUGUGCACCACCAUUUUGCAUGACUCGCUUCUCUCAUCUCUGAAUGGACCUGUGAUACGAAGAUUGAGCUGCUGAUUAGUGUAAAGGAGAUGAUGUCUGCAGUGCAGUGAACACAUAGCAAGGACUCCUCAUAAGCUGUCCCCCCUGCCCCUGCCCGAAAUGGGUUACAUUAUGAAAGCUGAAACUUCAGGAAAUUCCUCAUUUCCAUAUGAAUAUCUCAUUCUGUGGUUUGAAAAGUCCUAGAAGCACAGACCCAUCUCAAGGUGGGUCAGCGGAAAGAACACUUAGACGGAGGCACGAGGUCAUCCUACACCUUACUGGACCCUUCAUCAUGAGUCUCAGGAGAACCAUGGCAAAGUUGAGAGUCAAGAAUGUGGUUUGGAAACCAUGGCAUGAGAGCGUUUCCAGAGAGAUCGUCGGCAGCACCAGUAACAUAUUGGGAGUGAAAUCACCAAA